GACGAACGCUGGCGGCGUGGAUUAGGCAUGCAAGUCGAACGGUAUCAUCCUUUCGGGGGUGAGAGAGUGGCGAACUGGUGAGUAACACGUAGGUUAUCUACCCUCAAGACGGGGACAACCCAGGGAAACUUGGGCUAAUACCGGAUGUGAGCAACUUUUAGUUGUUUGAAAGGUGGCGUAAGCUGUCGCUUGGGGAUGAGCCUGCGUCCUAUUAGUUAGUUGGUGAGGUAACGGCUCACCUAGGCAAUGAUAGGUAGGCGGCCUUAACGGGUGGUCGCCCACACUGGGAUUGAGAUACGGCCCAGACUCCUACGGGAGGCAGCAGUCGAGAAUAGUCUACAAUGGUCGGAAGACUGAUAGUGCGACGCCGCGUGAACGAUGAAUCCCUUCGGGGUGUAAAGUUCUUUUAUAUGUGAGCAGUGCUUCUUAUAUUAACAGUAUGGGGAGAGAGAUAUUAGCAUAUGAAUAAGCAACGGCUAACUCCGUGCCAGCAGCCGGAUAAAACG
rnacentral:rRNA from 1 species